UUUUAUGAGAGUUUGAUCCUGGCUCAGGACGAACGCUGGCGGCGUGCCUAAUACAUGCAAGUCGUACGCUUCUUUUUCCACCGGAGCUUGCUCCACCGGAAAAAGAGGAGUGGCGAACGGGUGAGU
rnacentral:rRNA from 1 species